rnacentral:rRNA from 1 species
GCUACGGGAGGCAGCAGUGAGGAAUAUUGGUCAAUGGGCUUACGCCUGAACCAGCCAAGUCGCGUGAGGGAAGACUGCCCUAUGGGUUGUAAACCUCUUUUGUCAGGGAGCAAUUGGCGCUACGUGUAGCGUUAUCAAGAGUACCUGAAGAAAAAGCAUCGGCUAACUCCGUGCCAGCAGCCGCGGUAAUACGGAGGAUGCGAGCGUUAUCCGGAUUUAUUGGGUUUAAAGGAUGCGGAGUCGGAAUGCCAAGUCAGCGGUAAAAUCGCGGGGCUCAACCUCGAUCCGCCGUUGAAACUGGCGUUCUUGAGUGGGCGAGAAUUAUGCGGAAUGCGUGGUGUAGCGGUGACAUGCAUAGAUAUCACGCAGAACUCCGAUUGCGCAGGCAGCAUACCGGCGCCCAACUGACGCUGAAGCACGAAAGCGUGUGUAUCGAACAGGAUUAGAUACCCUUGUAGUC